UACGUAGGGGGCAAGCGUUGUCCGGAUUUAUUGGGUGUAAAGAGCGUGUAGGCGGCUUUACAGGUCCGUUGUGAAAACUCGAGGCUCAACCUCGAGACGCCGGUGGAAACCGUAAAGCUAGAGUCCGGAAGAGGAGAGUGGAAUUCCUGGUGUAGCGGUGAAAUGCGCAGAUAUCAGGAAGAACACCCGUGGCGAAGGCGGGUCUCUGGGCCGAUACUGACGCUGAGGAGCGAAAGCGUGGGGAGCGAACAGG
rnacentral:rRNA from 1 species